AUGUCUCAGUUUAAGCAGCUCCAUAGCAACACUGUGCAUGGCUCAUUAAAACAGCCACAACCUGGGUCGUGGUCCUGCUACAUGGAUAUCUUCGGCAAUUCUGCAGCUAAUACAUGCACCACAUUCACCUGUGGUGAGUUGUGGUUGUUGCAUUCAGAAUUAAUGCAAGCUGUGCUUGAUGACCAGAUGAAUCAUUACAACUGCAUGGAUUGUAGUUUGUACACUGUUGAUGCUCUAUCAAGGUUUCUGACCUAUCAGCUUCCGAUGGCAGGGUAAAGGCCUACCGUGGCAGUGACAGGUGACGGAGGAUUAGGGUUUGACUCCGGAGAGGGAGCCUGAGAAAUGGCUCCCACAUCUAAGGAAGGCAGCAGGCGCGUGAAUUGCCCAAUCCUGAGAGAGGGAGGUAGUGACAAAAAAUAGCGAUACAAGGCAUCCAUGUUUUGUAAUUGGAAUGAGGGAUCAGUAAAUGUCGUUCUGAGUACCAAUUGGAGGGCAAGUCUGGUGCCAGCAGCCGCGGUAAUUCCAGCUUCAAUAGCGUAUGUUAGAGUUGUUGCAGUUAAAAGGCUCGUAGUUGGAUUUCUGCUGGAGAUUGCUGGUCCGCCCU
rnacentral:rRNA from 1 species